GUAGGGUGCAAGCGUUAUCCGGAAUCAUUGGGCGUAAAGAGCUCGUAGGCGGUUCAGCAAGUCGGCUGUGAAAUCCCGAGGGCUUAACCUCGGAACUGCAGUCGAUACUGCUGUGACUAGAGUCCGGUAGAGGAGAAUGGAAUUCCCGGUGUAGCGGUGAAAUGCGCAGAUAUCGGGAGGAACACCAGUAGCGAAGGCGGUUCUCUGGGCCGGUACUGACGCUGAGGAGCGAAAGCGUGGGUAGCAAACAGGAUUAGAUACCCUGGUAGUCCACGCCGUAAACGUUGGACACUAGGUGUGGCGUUCCGACCAACGGGUGCCGUGCCGAAGCUAACGCAUUAAGUGUCCCGCCUGGGGAGUACGGCCGCAAAGGCUA
rnacentral:rRNA from 1 species